AAGACUAUACUUUCAGGAAUCAUUUCUAUAGUUUGUGACUAGAGAAGUUUCUCUGAUCACGUAGAGCACCUGAAGCCACAAGGAGGAGCCAGAUGAGCAUCCUCUCCUGAACAUGAAGCCGGCUCUAGGUGAUGCUUCUGCGGCUGAAUUGGCCAUUGAUGAUCGUUAUUCUCUUCCUUUGGAAGGGAUAGAGGUAGAGGAUGCAGUCUGAGUGGU